rnacentral:rRNA from 1 species
GAAACUGAUCCUCUGGUACAAAAGCCAGAAUAACCACACAAGACGAGAAGACCCUGUGGAGCUUAUAACCUAACCGCUACUACUAGUGCCAAACCCCUUACGAGGCCCAGCACACGCAACCUAGCCGUCAUUUUAAGUUGGGGCGACUACGGAGUAAAACAAACCCUCCAAGAUUUAACAGGCUACAAAACCUCUAAAGCGGCACACACGCCAACAAGCCACCAAAAACUGACCCAGUACCACUGACUACCGAACCAAGUUACCCCAGGGAUAACAGCGCUAUCCCCCUCAAGAGUCCUUAUCAACAGGGGGGCUUACGACCUCGAUGUUGGAUCAGGACA